GAUUUUCUCAUGCAAAUAUGGAGUAGAAAAUAACUAUAAAUAAGAUGAAGGAGAUAUAGAAGGAAUUCAUUCAAUUCGAAAAUUUAAACCUAUCGAUUUCUAUGGAUUGAUUGUUGUAAACCAAAUGAGAUUACAUGUCCACCAACGAAUCCUAAAAGAAACCUAUCAAUUCCAUCUGAAAGAUUUCCAAAUUUACAAUCCCAAAUCUAAGCUCAUCUCUUUCAAGCUAUCUCAUAAAUCAACCCUUUGGACCUGGUGUUAAGCUCUCUAAGAGCUCUUCCUCCUCUUUUCUUGCUCCAACUUUUAAGCUUGGGUUGAGGUUGAGGUUUCAAAGAGAGAAGAAAGAUUAGAGGUGAGGGCUUUGGAGGGGAACAAGUAGUGGAGAUAGAGAGAAAGAAGAAGAAGAUGGUAGAAAGGGAAAGAAGAGUAUUUUCUAUUGAGAGCUAGCUAAAAGAAAGAAAGGAGAGAGAGUUAGAGAGAGGUAUUUGUAGUUGCACAAUACCCUUUCUCCCUAAAAUACAGCCUGAGUACUAGUACUCCCUCACUUAAUACCAGUACAUCCCCAAGUGCCAUAAAAUUCGAGAGUUCCAACAAUAAAAAUUGCUCAAGGGGUACCGGUACUCCACCUCGAGUACCGAUGCAUGGUAAUCAAUAUCAAUACUCAACUAGAAUUUUGUAAAACCCUCAUUAUAUAUAAACUUUGUAAAAUUAAAAUACUAAGUUUAUGAACUUAGCAGUCAAUCAGAAUUGGACUGCUCAGUUUAAUGAUACGGCAGCCGGUUGAGAUUAAUUAAUUUGCUUAGUUUAACGAGUUAGCAGUCAUGUUAAAAUGACUCUAAUUUGACUCAUUUAGUUUAAUGACUUGAUAGUCAAGUUGGAUUGAGUUUUAUUUGAUUUGUUCAGUUUAACAAUUUGACGAUCAAGUUGAGUUGGAUUUCAUUUGAUUUGCUUAGUUUAAUGACUUGGCGGUCAAGUUGAAAGAAGUUUCAAUUGAUUUGCUCCUUUUAACGACUUGGCGAUUAAGUUGAAACAAGUUUUGUUUAAUUUACUCAGUUUAACAAUUUGGCGGCCUAGUUGAAGCAAGUUUGAUUUGAUUUGUUCAGUUUAAUGAUUUGACGGUCAUUUGAAAUAAUCUUGAUUUGAUUUGCUCCGUUUAACCACUUGGCAGUCAUUUGGUUCUAGCUUGUGAAUUCGGCCGAUUAAUUUGAAUUCAGCUUGAUUUAAAUCCUUGAUCUAUUUUAAUUCAGGCGAAGCUAGUUUGCUUGAUUUGGAUCAUCCCUAAAGUUUGGUCUGAACAUUUUUUUGGUUGGAUU
rnacentral:lncRNA from 1 species